CUACUUACAACGUUGCCGGUGCAACGAUCUAUCGAGCUUUCGAUAGUUGUCUCGAUUAUUUCCGCCAUGAUAGUUCGAUUGAAAUAAAAGAAAAAAAAACGGAAAGAGAAAGAGCAAAAGUAUGACAAGUGCAAUUGUUUAAUCGUUUAAUAUGAAAGAGUUUCACGAAAAUUAAGGAAAUAAUGGAAAAUAAUGGGCUAGGAUUUAAAAAUAGAUUAGCUUGAAGAUAUUAAGCGCCAUAUAUGAAGAAUAAAAUAAAAUUUGUGAAAGAGGAUAAAGAUUAUUAUCGUCGAACGGAGUUUACUGCUUCUGGAAUGUUGUUUUGGAUAUAUUCACGAAAUUCUACUUCGAAGAGAGAGGAUGGAGAAGUCAGAGUAUUCGUUCGAAUAUAAAUGAGUCAAUCGUUGUUAGAUCAGAUCUUUUCUAUACUUUUGAGAGAUUCCAAUCGUAAAAUCGAAUUAAAUGAAUAUUUUUAUUUAUCCAGGAACCAUAUUUUUGUUGCCACCUACGAAGUGAUGUGUUUAUAUAAACAAUUGAUAAGUGAUAAUCACACACAGAAAUGCAAAUGUACGAUAGUAGCAAUCUUUCUUGCAAAAACGUGUUUAAAAAUCAAAAAAUAUAUUUUUCUAAAGGAUUAGAUUAACCUAAAUAACCUAAUCUAAUCAAAAAAAAGGAAAAGAAAUUCUACGUGGAAAAUCUUUCUGAAUCUGUAAGAAUAGUCGUAAAACAGUGGAGCGAGAGAUACGAAGGCACGUAGCGGCUCACGUACAGACGUCUUCCUCCCGAGGAGGACGUCUUGGCCUGUUCACUUGGAAGGCAAUUUCUGUUAUCAAUGUAAUAUUCCGCAGCG